ACCCACUCAGGCAUAGAGACAGAGAGAGCCAUAGCUUGGUCAACACUAAUAGGUCCCACUCAGGCAUAGAGACAGAGAGAGCCAUAGCUUGGUCAACACUAAUAGGUCCCACUCAGGCAUAGAGACAGAGAGAGCCAUAGCUUGGUCAACACUAAUAGGUCCCACUCAGGCAUAGAGACAGAGAGAGCCAUAGCUUGGUCAACACUAAUAGGUCCCACUCAGGCAUAGAGACAGAGAGAGAGCCAUAGCUUGGUCAACACUAAUAGGUCCCACUCAGGCAUAGAGACAGAGGGAGCCAUAGCUUGGUCAACCAGGUCCAGAUGCCAGUGUGAGGUUCGAAGACAGACCAACCAAUUCCACCAAGCCUCACCAUGCCUUUCUUUUCAGGCAGAUAACAGGACACC